AGCUGCCGGACACCAGGAGACGAUGGAAGGUCUAUAGUGUUACAGCUCUGACCCAGGAAGUCCCAGGGUCUUGCCUUCCAGAAGGGUCGCGGCUCUUCCCUCCCUCAGUCCAACGAACAGGAGCACGUCACCUCCCGCAGCUCGGGGAGCUGGCCAGGAACGUGUUACAGCCCGUUUCGCUCCUGUCCGCAGCUGGGUGAGGCAGCCAGGAAAAUAUUACAGCUCUUCUCACGCCCGCCAUUCAGCAGGUCCUGACUUCUUGUGUGACAUCCAGAAGAAAGGGGUUACACAGACAGCUGGAGGGUGAGCAAAGUGGAGAAGUUCUCAGCAGAGAGGAGACUGGAGUGAGUUGCCCCUACCCGCAGGUGCCAACUGUAAUACAUCAGUAGCUGAACAGCUCAUUGCCCUCAAGUGUUCUUGCUCAUGCCUGGCUGAGUUAUUGAAGAAAUUGCUCAGAUCUCAAGCCCUUGUAGAUCACUGGUCCUGGCAGAUGUUAUGGGGAACUCGCUAUGUUGCCCAGGCUGGUCUUGAACUCAUGGUCUCAGGCAGUCCUCCUGCCUCAGCUUCCCAAAGUGCUGGAAUUACAGAAUGAAGAAUUCUACAAGAAAGUAGAAACAUGACAGAAAGAAGAGUACAGGAGAACGGGUGAAACUUGAAAACUGAUAGAAAUGAUAGAACAGGAUCUAUACUUCUGCAGGUCACUGAAGUGAAGAGUUUGAUGUUCUUCCUAGAUCUUCAUAGACGUAGAAUUGCCUGUGUAAUCUCCUUACCUCACUAGUCUGCCCUGUCUUCCUUCUUGCUAGAUGAGAAAUAAAGAAAACAAGAAAAGCAAGGGAAAGGAGAGAAAAAAGGAGGGAUACAGCAAGAGGGAGAAAGAAAAGGACGAGAAAAUAAAUUACUAAAGGGAGAAAAGAAAAAGAAAAAAGAAAAAGCAGAGAAGAAGUUAAUCCCCUGGUGAAUUUUUCACAGGCUAUCUGGAACUCAAAAGUUCAAUCUUUAUCCAUCUAUCACUAAGUCAACUUCUGGAACCUCUUCUUCUAGAACCAGUUAGGGAAGCCACUGAAGGAGGGUUAUAGGACAAAAUAUAUGUUGGUGUGAACUUUAAAAAAAGAAUUUGUGUUUAAGGAUGAAACUGUAAUGGUUUUGAAAUUGCACUAACCACAUUUGAUUUGAGCUGAAUCAAAAGUAGAAAAAUCAGCAAAUUCUACAUAAAAAACUAAGGAAGAGGAAGAAGAUCCAACUUAGAAAAUCCAGUGGAAUAAUAAUUCCAUUAGUAAGAUAACGAUACAGAGAGAUGAUGACACUGGAGUUUUCAGAGAGCAUUGAGGCAAUAUGUAGCUAUGGAAUUUGAAAAAAAAAAUGGUUCAUUUUUGGAAGAUUACUACAACAGUCAUGUUAGAUUAAUUGAAAUGAAGGUUGGUGUUAUAAGGCUUUAAAAAUAGUCCAACUGGAAAUACGAAAGCUUGAAAAGCAGCUUUGAAAAACAAAGACAGAGGGGAAAGGGAUGAAGAGAAAUACAACUGAGAUUUAAGAUAUAAAAUAACUGAAAUCUGGAACUAAUCAACUGUGAAAAUCAAGCAACGAGAAAGAGUUGUAAAUUAUUUUAAAAUAUCUGGCUCGAUCAACUUUGCCAGUUUUAGAGCCAGUCUUUGCAAAAAGGGAGAAACAAAACAGAUGAGACAAGAAAGGAACAUCCAGCAUGCUGUGAACCCCCUGAGACUGGCCAUGAUCUGAAAGAGUAAAGCUCUAUCCAGGGAACCUUUUCUGAAUCAUAGUGUCAGACUUCCUGCUCUUUUCAACUCCCCUGGUUUUAUCAUCUCUACUCUGUUUCAGCAAUCUACUGCCAUGGCCACAUCCUGAAUGUUGACAAUACCCUAAACUGUGCCAUUUAUAAGAUCUCUGACACACCAACCUCUCUCCUCUUACAGCUCUCAAUGAUGUAUAUGACCUCAGCUUAUUCUAAUAUGCUUACAGAUUAUACACCCGUGAUAUUGAUGGCAGUGGCUGCUGCUGUCGUGGCUGCUGCUAUCACGCCUGCUGCAACACAGAGGUGCGACUGGGGCUGCACAUUUCACGGAGGUGUUGGGAGUUCCGCCCCUUCUGAUGUGGGGAAAGAGAUCCCCAGGUGCCCCUGCAUCUGCCCAAACUGUGGCUGUGGAUCGGAGGCUCCAGGUUGGCAGGUUGGGAGCUUCCGGGUGCAGCUGCGACCGCCCUCCCAGGUGCAGGACCCUGGUGUUUCUGCAGCCUGCACCCUUGGGGGCCCCAGGAAAGACCCAUAUCCUUGCAGGCUUGGAGGUGUUUGCUUCUUCUGCCUGGCCUCUCUCGGCUCCCGGUGCAUGCUCUCAUAUCUGAGUGGGGGUUGGUGCUGAGCCCCGGGGCCGUGAAUUGCAGCAGGAGGCAGAUUUAUUCCUGGGCAGAAGGUGGCAGAUCCCAAGUAAGGGGACCUUCAAGCCAGGGAGGGCCUGAAGGCUGGUGGCUGGGCUACCAGUCCCACCGACCAGAGUGGGGAUUCGUGGGCCUCUUCUGGGCCACCCAUAGCCACCCAUGGACCAAUCAGCAAGCACAUCCUCCCCUCUGAGGUCCGUAAAAGCCCUGGGCGCAGCCUGAGCAGGGCAGAGGAAGGCCAGAGGUGAAGGAGUCAGAGAGGCGACAGGAUAGGCAGCUGCCGAGAGAAGUACGCCUCUCUGCUGAGACCUGGAGAUGACGGGAAGGCCAGAUGCAGAGAGGAGCUACCCUCUCUGCUUAGAGCUGCCAGGAGGAGCUACCAACCUUCUCUGCUGAGAGCUGCAGAGAUGACCUGCUGGCAGAGAGGAGCUACCCACUGCGGGUCUCCUCUGAUCUGUUGUAAUGCUGAAUAAAGCUUCUUUUCAUCUUGUUCACCUUCCACUUGUCUGCAUACCUCAUUCUACCCGGACGCAAGCAAGAACUCGAGCAAAGGCACAACCAGCCACAGAGGUUUCUGGCCAGAAAAUCGACACCCCAAAAGUCCUAUAACAAUCUGAUUCUAAAAGCAACAUCAUCUUUUCAAUGUAAUUCUAAAAGAAUUUGGGAUUAUUUUAUUUAAUUUCAGGAUCCCCUCUGAAGAAAAUCAACUUACAAAGGAUGGCAGGUCUUAAGAAAGGUACUUAGCAAGUGCUGGUACAUUCUAAGCAAUCAAUAUUUGUCAAUGUUCAGUAAUUGUACAAUUGUACUAGAGAAAACAAUUCCAGGGGCUUAAAAUUAUCUUAUACAAGGAUCCACUUUAUUAUUAUUUUUUCUGUUUGUUUUGGAUAAAUUACUGACUCCUUAUCUCAGUUAUGUUAUGUGUUAAAUGUUUACAGUGUUAUUUUGUAUCUCUCAAGGGCUUUUGUUAGAAUUUUCAAUGAGAUACCUUAAAACCUCUAAAAAGAAAAUGGAUGUUAUAAGUAAAUAAAAAUAAGUCUGAAUGGCCAAAAAUAUGUGUAUGUUUGUUCUUACUAUUUAUCGCCAAGGACACCAAUUCAUUGGCCCUUUUUUAUAGCAAUAUGUAACUCAAACUUCUGGUUUAUUUGCUUUAGACCUGAAAGACAUAAAUUUAUUUUUCCAUUUACAUAGCAAGUUGAAGUUGUGAGGACAGAUACAGUAGAAUGUGUUGAUUUCCACAGUCUCUAGAAACUGGCAUUUCUCUUAUUUCCCAGUUCAGGGAUUUUCAAUUCACAGUAUUUCACAUUAAUGUUAGACUUGCUAUAAGGUUAUUUCUUAAAAUAUCUUAUGCGUUGCCUUCAGGAAAACAUUAGCUUGCUAGCUUUCUGAGGUAUUACUCAUUUAUAUCACUCAAAAUAAUGACCAGUGAAUAUAUCAGAAUGGAGACCCACCUAGAGGCAGCAUGCCUUAAUUCUGUAGUGCCAGCAGUGUGUGACUAGAUGGCUACCUUUCUUACUUAUUGUUAUAUAGCAAAUUUUAGAGGCACUUGUGAGAAUGAUUUUUUUCAGAUCAACCACAUUUGUGUAUGAGCAAAUGGAGUUUGUCUCAAGUGAUCUAGGCACAUGAAAUCAAAUUAUUCUUUAAAUUACCUAUUGAGAAUGUCGCUCUAUUGUUACCUGCAAAAAAUACAUACAACUUCUUAAUAAUGUAUUCCAUAGAACAUGUUGAAGUUUAUAAGGCUCUUGGAUUGUAAUAUCUCAUUAUAUUCUAAAAACAAGUUCAGUUAGGCAGGGCUGGAAUUGUGCGUCUCCUUCCAAGAGCCUUGCUUAAGACCAGCUGAAUAUAUAGUAGGGGACAACCACAGAUGUUCAGUGUCACCACUAAAUCCAUUUGGGAUUAAGCAGGAUCUGUCAAUAAAUACUUCUGUUAAGGCCUUGGUGUAGUCCUAUGGGAUAAUGCGAAGAACGUAAUCACUGUAGGUGUUUUUAUGAUGCACAACACAAUAUUAUGACAUGACAUUGAUGAAUUUGUGAUUAUUGUAACUGGCUGUCUUUUGUCUCAUUUCAUCAUUUCAAUUAUACAUCAAAUAAAAUAUCUGCAAUGAAUGGAAAAGUGUUUUACCUGCUGGUAUAAAAAACGUUGUGAAUAUUGGGAUUAGACAAAACUGGACAUAAAUCUCCAGGCCAUCGCUUACUAGCUUUGUGUCCUUCAGCAAUGUACAUUCUCUCUCUGAGACUCCAUUUCUUAUUUUAAAAUAGGGAUGACAAUGCUUUCAUCAUAUGGUGGCUAUGAAAAUUAAGUGAAAUAGCAUGUAUAAAGGGCAAAUACAGGUUAAUAAACGUUAUUCUUCUUCCUCUCUCCUAUCUUCACCCUAGAGAGCAUCAGGGAUGCAACUCACAUGGCAGUUUAACUACAUGUCUAAGAUUUCUAUCCCUGUAUUACAUGAUCCAUAUUAUCCAAUUCUAACACGUGGGAAAAUCCAAAACACUGCAAAUUGCAAAGAGAAACUGUGCAGUAAAGGACUAAAAAUAUCAAGUGUGUCAUUCAGUUAACGUUAAUGUUUCAGGUGAACUGGAGACAGAACUUGUGUUAUUGUGCUGAGCUAUAACAUCUAUGCCCUCUCUAAGCCUAUAUGGAACUGUAAUAAAGUAUUUUAUUACAGUAGUCCAUCUAGGUUUGCUUUCUUCUAUGAAAAUAGUGGGUCCAUGUGUUUGAUGCUGUACAAUGUAAUUCGACAAUUAGUUAACUUGUAAUAAAGUAAAUGAGUCAGUUUUGCUCAAUUCAACUGACUUUAGGUGAAGCAAUACAUAAUUUUUUUUUUUUUUUUUUUUUUUUUAAGAGACGGAGUCUCGCUCUGUCACCCAGGUUGGAGUGCAGUGGCGAGAUCUCAACUCACUGCAAGCUCUGCCUCCCGGGUUCACACCGUUCUCCUGCCUCAGCCUCCCGAGUAGCUGGGACUACAGGCACCCGCCACCAUUCCUGGCUAAUUUUUUUGUAUUUUUAAUAGAGACGGGGUUUCACCGUGUUAGCCAGGAUGGUCUCGAUCUCCUGACCUCGUGAUCCACCCGCCUCGGCCUCCCAAACUGCUGGGAUUACAGGCGUGAGCCACCGCACCUGGCCAGCAAUACAUAAUAUUUUAUAACAACUGUUACUCAUUCAUAUCUGAUAUUUGGACAUUAAUUGAUAAAAAUAGUGAUUUUAUAAAAGAAGUUAAAGAGGUGUUUGUUAUGGAAAACAUGGGCAAAAAUGCUGAAUAAUAUCUGAAACUAAAUUAUUUUAUAUAUUUAAAAAUGUUUCAAAAUGCAGGCAGCCCUCUGUUUAUAGGAUUCCAAUUUGCAUACAUUUCUGUUACAAUGCUUUAAUUAAGUAACACCAGUCCCCAACAACAUGAUUUCAGUAAACAUGCUAUGUGCACUGUAAUUGGAUAGAAGUACAAACUUCACUGCUAUAGCUCUUCGGUCUAUCAAUCACUACACAAAGACAGAUGCACAUCAUGAAGACUGACCAAUCAUAUAAUUUUUUUCAAAGUCUGUUGGUUAUUGGCCACUGAACAUCUGUUAUUUAGUUCACACCUAGACAGCAAAGUUUGUGCUUGUGUAAAAAAUGCACUUGAAAAUAUUUUAUGACAUUGAAAUUACAAGAAGUUAAAUAUUAGAAGCUGAUCUAACCUUAGAAAGGAAUAUGACACUUUGCCAAGGCAUAGAAGAGAUACCUGUUCUUUAUCAUGUUAUACAACAACAGGCAGGGAAGCAAUGUUCAAACUAUUCUUUUUUUUUUUUUUCUUGAGACAGAGUCUCACUUUGUUGCCAGGCUGGACUGCAGUGGUGCAGUCUCAGCUCACUGCAACCUCUGCCUCCUGGGUUCAAGUGAUUCUCCUGCCUCAGCCUCCCGAGUAGCUGGGACUACAGGUGCGCACCACCACCCCCAGCUAAUUUUUGUAUUUUUAAUAGAGACGGGGUUUCACCAUGUUGGCCAGGAUGGUCUCGAUCUCUUGACCUCGUCAUCCGCCCACCUCAGCCUCCCAAAGUGCUGGGAUUAUAGGCGUGAGCCAUUGUGCCUGACGUCAAACUAUUCUUAAACUUUAAUUCCCAUGUUUCUAACAUUUUAAAAUAUGGUGUUCAAAGAUAUUAGGUCUACUUUAAAAAAUGUUCUAUAAAUGUAUAACUGACAGUGAUUUAAUGUUUUGAUAAAAAUUGUAAAGGUCAUGGAAUAAUCGAAAUAUUUCACAUUGACUAUUAAGAUCCUUUUGUAGAUUUCAGGUUUUAUUAGCAUUUUUACAGUCCCAUACUACUGUGCCAAGUGAGGACUACUUGUAUUUAAAACAUUGUAAAAUAGAGCUUAUGCCUUGGUUUCAUGUUUUAGGUGAAAGAGAUGACUAAAUCUAGGAUUUUUAUUUCUUCCAUGGGUUAUGUGAAAUCCAAAUAUAUACUUGGGUAAACUCCUGUGUUUUUAUUUCGUCGUGGUUAUCAAAUGGCUUAAUUGAGACAGAAAUUCAAAGCUAAUUUUUCUUUUAACCUACAAUAAUCAUGGAGCUUAGAAAUAGAACAAUAAUCAUGCCUUUCAUCUGUGAAUGUGGCCAUUUCCAUUGUAAUGCUCUGACAACCAGAGUUCAACCUUUCAGCAGCACAUCUGUCCAUGAAUAAAAUUUGAGUAUGUAAGAAGCUGAAAGCAUGGACAAGCAAGGUUCAAGGUUUGAAGGUUCAAGGCUUUUCAUAGAAUCUACUGAUCUGGAGUAUUUCCUUCUCUUUAAGUUCAUAGAUUCAAAUUUUACUUGGACGCUAUGCAAACAACUGAUGAGUCACAUUCUUAUAUAAGUUCUGAUGGAUUUGUUUUAACUUUCCAAUUCACAUGCAGAAGUAACACUUUCCCUGCUUCCUCUCUAUCAUGUCUAUCUGUUGCCAUCCUGCUUUUCUGAAUUUGAUCCGAAGCCUACAUCCCAAGGUUAAAUGGAGUACCCUUAUCUUUUUUUUCUUUUUUUUUUAAAAAAGAUAUAUUAAGACAAGAGAAGAAGAGAAGGUAAAGUUAGCAUGAUUUUUUCAUAGUACAAUUUUCAGAAUAUAUGCAACUCAUACCCUAAGACUUCCAAAAAGGUUUCAAAAGGAAUUUGAUUUAAGACAGAGCUUUUGUGUUUUGGUUAGAAGUAGAGACAGAUAAGUACUGUUUGGUGACUUUUUUCAUGACUUGUAUUAAGUUGAGGUAGAGUAAUUAAGUGACAAAUAUCUCCCAAAUUUAAAUUGUUCAGCACAACUAAAACUUAUUUUUCACUGAAUUUGGUGUCUGUUGGGUCCAUGGGGAUUGAGAAGCCUUGGGGUGAGUUUCUGUAUCAUGAAGUCAUUGAGGGUCCCAGAUCCAUCAAUCUGGAAACUCAGUCUCCUGUGUAACCAGAAGAUGGACCAAGCAAAAGAGAAGGCCCACCUGUUCAUUUUCUUGGCUUGUAGGUGACCACCUCACUUCCAAUCAUGUUCUGUCCAUGAGAAUUCACUACAAAACUUGUCUUUACGCAAGGGGCUAGAAUAUGAUCUAUUGAUAUACCCAAAAAAGAAAAGGACCAAAUAUUGGCAAGCACAUGAAUUUUGCCCUAUGGCCUUAUUUAGACCCAGGCUACUUAGAUAAAAGCCAUCGUAGAUCCAGGACUAGCCACAUAAUUUGGACAGCCCAGUGCAAAUGAAAAUUCAGGGCUCCUUGUUGUAAUAGCAGGAAAAUGGGGAUAAUGAUACCUUUGUGGGAGGGUGUUUAUAAUGUAUUUGUACACUAAAAACAUAAAAAGUACUAAAAUAUAAAACUUUUUUUUCUUCUCACAACUCUUUUUUGACAUUGCAUUAAAAAAAGUUUCCAUUUACUAUAACCCUCUUUGCAACAUGCAGAUAUUUGCAGGGAUUAUGUACAGUCUCCCAUGCACUCAGAGCACUGGCCCAGGAAUCUGUGUCCAUUUGUGACUUACCAGCUGCUGAGUUCUCCCUCCUUCCAGCUGCUGAACUGACAUGUUUAUUGGCCGUGAAUGAGGAAUUCGAUCUCCCUUUCCCUCAGCUUGUCAUCCCAGCCCAUGGUAGAUAGUUGAUCCUCAAGGGAUUACAAAUCAGACAUGCUCAGUACCUGCAUCUGGGGUGGGCCAGCCCAGAGCCUCAUCCCCACUAAGUCACUUUCCCAACAGCUGUGGGGCUGCUAGCUUAGGACAGGGAUCAUGUCACCCUGAGGCACCAUGGAGUGUGCAUAUCCAACCCUGAGAUUCCUCAUGACUUUGCCCAGGCCCCUACUAGGGUUGAAGGACCAUGACUGCAUGCAGGUCUCCUCCUGAAUGCAAUCCCUGCUCUAGGAGGAGAGCUGUAUUAAUCCUUGGUCAGGGGAGAAAAUAUCAAGGCUGCGCAAGCCCAGACCUCAGGGCGCUGGGAGCCAGUGGUUGAGAAUCUGUGCUGGAGAGGCAGGGAGAUGGUAUUGCCCAUGAACCAAGAUUAAAAGCCAGUAUUUGUUCCAUUGUCCCAUUGGAUUUCACUUGCAAACCACAAAUUUCAAAGAUGAAAUCAUUAAUAGUUUCAAGACAACAGCAGAGCAUUAACCCCCUGGGUGCAAGUCCCUUAGAACUGCACUGGCCACACACCCAUGAAGCUGGCCCUGCACAUACCAUAUUGGUUUAACCAUACCAGUGUCCCUGCAGAUGCUCUCAGUAAAAAGGUGGUCUUGAGGUGUCUGUCUUCUCCUUUCCCAUUCAUUACACGAAAGCAUCACUGUACAGAAAGUACGUUUGCAAAGGCUUUUAAGGUAGAUGCCCUCUCAAAAUCAGUAAUCAUGAACUUUCUGCCCCAUGCUUUUGAUAUUGUCAUAUAUUCUUGUGAAAUAUACAUAUUUUCUUUUCAAAGAUUGCUUUUUCUGAAAUACUUUAAGGAAUUAUUUCCAAGUUACCCUUUCUUAAGACCUUCCAUGAUCACCUAGACAGAAAGAACUCUUCUUCCCUUUAAUUGGGUGGUUUACUACAGGUGAGAGUGAGCUUAUCAGAAUCACCAUGGGGGCAUUUUAAAACCAUCUUUGCUUACUCUUAUUCUCCACACUCAGGAUUUAGGCAUGAGAGGCACCUAUAAAUUGAAAAUGUUCUCUAGAUUUUUAUAACAGUUUCUACCUCCAUUGAAGUAUUUGCUUUAAUGCCAAGGCUUUAUGCAGACAUCAUUUAAAAAAAUCAAGUAUCACUUAUGUUUUCUAUUAUGCUUGGGCACAUGUCAAUCUCCCCUAGAUUGCACAUAAUUUUUGCAUAGAAGGUCUUAUUUGUCUUUAUUUUCCCAAGACACAUGUAACCUUAACUAGUAUAUAGUGGGUACUCAAUAAAUAUUUGUGAUUUGAAUCAAUGGAUUGAGAUUACUAUAAAUUUGUGUAUAUAAAACCUCAAAAGAGAGUGCCUACACAGAGUCUUACCACAGUCUACCAAGUCAAAUGCCUGGUGUUGUUUCAGGAUGAUUAUAGAUUUCUAUGUCCUGUCUUAAAUAAAAUAAGGCAUUCUUUCUGUUUGAGAAAAAAGUCAGUGUGGACAUCAAUGCUUGGGGCUUGAAGCUCUUCAUAACCUGCCUUUUUAGAGAGGUAUAAACCCUGAAUCCUGUAGGGUCUUUCUUGGUGCUUUGUUACUGUUUUUUUCUUUCAGACAACUACUUUAUUAUUGCUCUCGUAGGCAUUACAAGAGAAUGUAUCCACUUGACUAGAAUGAUGAUAUUCUAUUCUAGACUGUACAAAAUAUUUGCAUAUUUUCUUAACUCAGAGUACUUAGUCAAAUGACUGUAGCCACUGCUUUGGAGCUGGUAAAGUCCCUGUGGAUAGCACUGGCUCUUGCAAUUACUGUAAAAGCCAAGAUGGUUUCUUCACUUUCCAUUGCAUUAUGUCCACAUGCAUACAGUCAAGGACAGCUUUGGACUGAUACUACUUUGCCUUUUACUUGAUCAAAAUAUGCACACGAACCAGAAACUCUUAAUGAUAUAAGAUGGUUCUCAAAAAGCAUUGCUCAAAAAUGUUAAAUUACAAUAUUAUAAUACGUUGCCAUAAAGCUGGAACUUUUUGUAAGAAUAACAAGGUGAUUCAGCUAAAUUAGUUGUGAUGUUCUCAUUUAUGGUAAAGUGUCAUUUUUUCUUAAGAGGAGCAAUUGCUAUUUUUUUUACUGCGUAUUCAAGGCCGUUUAAAACUACCAACAUGAUGAAGCCUUAUUUAAUUAACUCCAGCUGACCUUGACCAUUUGUCUGCAUCCCCUCACUUGUUAUAGUUUAAGCUUCUUUACAUAAAAUGUUUUGCAUUUAUUUAUAAUAUAAAAUAAUCUAACACAAUACCGCAUGACUUGACAUAUAACAUUUGUAACUUGGCUGCCACUUAUCAUAUAUCUAGCGCUGUUAAGUGCUUUUCAUAAAUUAUAUAAUUCAGUUACCAUAAAAAGUUGGUGCUAUUAAUAUUGCUAUUUUAUAUACAAGCACAUUGAGACUUAGAAAGUUAUUUACAGCAUAAUUAUCAAAGCAGAUUGAUAAACCUGGAAAUUACAGGAAAACACAAAGGAACUAUUAAACCAUACAUUUUAAAAAUAAUGCCUAUGGAUCUACAUUUUCCUACCGUGCUGGGUGGUUCAUAGCCAUCCUAAAAAUUGAGAAUCACUAAAAUACCUUUAAAUGUAUGUUUGAUUUCCUCAACUGGACUUGAACUUUCUGAAUGGAAAGGAACACAAGUUAUUUUCUCUUCCCAAUUUCUCAGUUACUACUAUGAGAUGUUGUGCACCAUGAGAUAACUGUUUGUAAAGGCUUUGGGGUAAGACAACUGUAAAAAAAUCUCAAUUUUUCUAGGCUCUAGUAAAGGACAAUCAUCAAGUCAACUGCAUACCAUUACUGGCUGGACUGAUGAAAUAACGUGGCUCUUGAAGAUAUUUGACAAUUGGAUUCCAUUUAUUGACUACUAAAAGGAAAAACUGAUUACUUACCUAGAAAAUAAUGUCUAGAGUUAGGUCCAUGUAAUCAAAUUUGGGGCAUGUCACCUUUUAAUAAUUCCCCACAUGAUUUGCAAUGUCCUUUUAAAGACAAAGCAGUGAAGGGACUAGGGCAGAGCUAGGAAGACAGAAAAUACAUGAUCAGAAAUCAGUUCUGCAAUCCGUAGUCAACCAGUCUCAGUACAGGUGUAAGCCUCUUAGAGGAUAGUAGAGGGAAGAGUUGGAAUGCUUCUCUUUACCCCCUCAACAUGGCCAAACACCAUAGCCAGAAUACAAACAAGUUUGAAUUGUUCUCUGAAAAGUUCUGCUCUUAUUAGCAGAGUGGUUCCCAUAAUAGGAUGCAUAUUGGAACCACUUGGAAAAAUUUAAAGAACACUGAUGCCUUAGCCUCAGCCCUAAUUCUGAUUUAAUUAGCAUAGAAUGUAAUGGACGUGGGGAUUUUAUAAGUACUCAGUGAUGAUAAUUUGCCUUUAGGUUUGGAAACCACUGCUGGGGGAUUGUCCUUUUUGUAUUUCAGUGAAUAGGCAAAGCUAAGUCUGUUCACUCAUUAUACUUGCCAACAUUGAGCAGAUGAUGGCAGUAAGUGAAAGGUGUAUUCUCACCAUCUUUGCACUCAUUAUCACUCUCUGAGUUUACCCACUUUUUGGGGGGCUAGUCCCGGGAUUCUCCACUUCCUCUUGUACCUAUUGCCAUUUGAGUUGUCUCCCUAAGGAGCAACUCUGCUUAUACUCUUGUCCUGCUGAAAUUUUUCCAGUGACUUCAGUGAAUGAGUAAGACUCUUAAGCAACGAAAAAUAUCUGAUAGUAGACUAAAAGUACUGAAGCUGCACAUACAUAAGCUUGUUUUUUUUACUGUGGAUGGACCUUGCCGUGAUCACGUUAAUGACUACUUUUACCUAUAAUCACCAAAGGAAGAGAUAAAUCUCUGUCCUACUUCAAUCUGCUAAUGGAUGCCUUGAAAGGGAGAUGAAUAAAGAUUAAAUAAUUCUUCAGGGUUAUGGGAUGAAAGCUUCACACAGUGAUUCUCCACUCUAUCUGUAUAUUGGCAUCACCUGAGGAGCUUAGAAAACUGUCACGGCACCACCUCCGCCGUCUCUGAUUUAAUUUAAUGUCACCAGGUCCAGAUUUAGGCCUUUUUAUAAGGUCUCCAGGUUAUUUCACUAGGCAGCCAAGUUUGAGAACCAUAGCUCUGAUGAAAGACUAGUUUAUCAUAAAGGAAUUUAGUUUAACAAAAUAAUAAUUAAGGUAGGAGGAAGCCAGAAAUAACUGAUGUGAAAUGUGGAUAUUUAGCAGGAGGAAAGGAUGUUGCUAGGCAAUGGGAUAACCUAGGCUGGGAAAGGAAUAUUAGGGUGACUGAGAAGAGAAAGCAAAAGCCAGAUAAAGAGACACAUAUUGUCAGACAUAAUCAAAGAACAUGAAAAUCCUAAAUUGUAGUUUGUGGGACACUGGGAAAAACCCUUAACAGAUGUUAUUCCAACUGAAUAUUAAAAUCUGCCAAACCAGAAAUUACUUUUUCUUCCUGCUGAGACAAUUAUGGAAAUAAAUAAUUUUGGGAGAGUAAUGUUUUCAGCUGUUAUUAUUUUUUCAAAUUUUGUGAAUGAUGUUUUUAAGAC
rnacentral:lncRNA from 1 species